GGGGAAUAUUGCACAAUGGGCGAAAGCCUGAUGCAGCGACGCCGCGUGAGUGAAGACGUAUUUCGGUAUGUAAAGCUCUAUCAGCAAGGAAGAAAAUGACGGUACUUGACUAAGAAGCCCCGGCUAACUACGUGCCAGCAGCCGCGGUAAUACGUAGGGGGCAAGCGUUAUCCGGAUUUACUGGGUGUAAAGGGAGCGUAGACGGUUUGGUAAGUCAGAUGUGAAAGCCCGGGGCUCAACCCCGGGACUGCAUUUGAAACUAUCAGGCUAGAGUGCAGGAGAGGUAAGUGGAAUUCCUAGUGUAGCGGCGAAAUGCGUAGAUAUUAGGAGGAACACCAGUGGCGAAGGCGGCUUACUGGACUGUAACUGACGUUGAGGCUCGAAAGCGUGGGGAGCAAAC
rnacentral:rRNA from 1 species